ACCUCGACGCAGUAAGACAAAGUGGGAACCACCCUUGGCAUUCAGUGGUAAAAUGGUGUGCCAUCACCACCCCACUUGCCCAUAGUCAGAAUCACCUCCUGACUGACUGUGGCAUCUUAUCUUUGAUCCAAUCAAUGUUGCCUUCUGGAGUCUGUCAUUCUUUUCUUGUCUAAUCUUUUCAAUUGGCCCCGUCUGCACUUGGCCGCAUUUCUGUAUAUGGUUUUGUACGUAGUCACUGCAAGAUAGACUAUGUGUAUUUUCACAUGGAAAUGUCCAUGGCUUGAUGAGAGCUGAAAGUUAAUGUUUUUGAAACUGAAUAAGGGAAGACACCUACUUUUGUUUAGAAGGAAAGAUAGAUAAGGAGCGUCGUCGAGGAAAAAGAACCUCUCUGAUAUAGAGGAAGCCUGUAAACCAUUUUUCCUUCUUUCUCUUGGCCGCAGACAUUUCUUUAAACGUGUGCUGACCUUCUCCUUGGAGGUCUCCUUGAGGACAUUGUCUUAGAAAUCUCUGUAAAGCCAUUGAACACUUUCCACUGCCAAUUUCUCUACUAUCUACAUGAAGCAUAUAAAGAAUCCCUGGUUCAGUCUCAGGAGCAGGCACAAGCCAGUUAAAGAGAUUGCAGGAAGGGAGAGAUGCCUCCCGAGCACUGAAACAGCAUCUCCAGGCCCUCCUCACUAUGGAUGAGCCGGCCAACUCCCAGAGGCGGGACCUCCGAGAACAGCUGGCCUGUAGGCUGUCACGGCACCUCAUCCGAAAGCUCACCACAGUAAAUGAUGAAGGUGAGGGAUGAGAAGAUGUUAAAGUUGAUGACACUGAGGAGGUGCGGAAGGCAGAGAAAGAAAAGGAAGUCCCUGAGGACUCAGUGGAGGAAUGUGCCAUCACUUGUUCAAAUAGCUAUGGCCCUUCUGAGUCCAAUCAGCCUCACAAGAACUCCAAAGUCACAUUUAAGGAAGACCAAAUGGACUUGACUCUGCUUAUAGACGUGAAUCGUCUCCUGAUGUACGGCAGGAUGCUCUAAACCUUGUCGCAGGUAGCCUCUAUUUUCCUUGUGUCUCAUACCUCUGUCUAGACUACGGAAGAUCCAUUGUGAGGACAGCUAUAUACUUACAUAUUGGUUUGACUCAGCAACUAGGAUGGAGCUAGGUGCGGUGACUCACACAUAUAUUCGCAUGCAGCACUUUGGGAGGCCCAAGUGGGAGGAUCAUUUGAAUUCAGGAGUUCAAGAGCAGGCUGGACAAUAUGGUGAAACCCAUCUUUACAAUGAAUACAAAACAUUAGCCAGGCAUGUUCCUUUGCCCAUAGUCCCAUCUGCUCAGGAGGCUUAGGUGGGAGGAUUGGCUCAGAUGAUCCUCCCACCCUCAUUCACUUUUCUCAGGCUAGACUCUCUCUCCUUUUCAUUGGCUUGUCUUAGCUGUUAAUAAGAAGUCUCUGGCCAGGGUCGCUGGGCUCACAUCUGUAAUCCCAGUACUUUGGGAGGACAAGGUGGGUGGAUCACCUGAGGUCAGGAGUUCGAAAGCAGCCUGGUCCCAACAUGGCGAGAAAUUGCAUCUCUACUAAAAAUACAAAAAGUAGCUGGCAUGGUGGUUGGUGCCUGUACUCCCAGCUACUUGGGAGGCUGAGGCAUGAAUAAGCUUGAACCCAGGAGGCAGAGGUUGCAGUGAGCUGAGAUCGUGCCACCAACCUGGGCAACACAGUGAGACUCCCUCUCAAACAAAACAUAAAAACCAAAACCAAAACCAAUCAAACAAAAAAAUUAACGAAACAAAAACAAUCUCUUGAGCUACACAGAAACAUUGGCCACUCAUGGGGUAAAAAGCUCAGAGCCCAGCCUUGCUUUAUAGAAACUUCUAAGCAAGAAAAAAGUGGAAGUGUUUGUGUCCUGGUUUCAAGGUGACUGCGUAACUCAGACAAGUUGACUUAAAGGAGAUCCAGAGUGGAGAUGAGAAGUGAAACCAGGGAAACAGCAUCUUGAAAUCAGUGGACAAGGCUGUCAGUGACAUCCCUCAGUCCUGAUUCAGCGUGUUGAUUCACCAUGGCCAUCAUGUGUUUGGGUUUUCUCCCCAGUCCUAGCUCCACCUCUUCUGCCCACGCCAAAUGUCCAGCAUGGUGGUACUGUGAUGAAGUCAGAGAUGAAUACUCUGAAAUCAAUGAAGCUUCUUGUGAGGAGAGAAUAGCGAUCCAUUCAUAAACACCAAGGAAAAGGGCCUGGCGCUCAAGUGGCCUACUUUCUGGCCAAGGGGCAGAACAGUUACAGUAAGUUCCCUAGGCUCACCAUCACAAAAGUGAUGAAUGAUGUCUUCUCUCUGAAACUAGAUUUGUCUCUAUGAAAUGUGUAAUACUUUCUGUACUUGUAGGAAAAUAGAAAUGGGUAUUUUCACCUUUUGUUAGAAAGCUGAAGAGUGCACCAAAAUAUUUCAAAACUCCGUGUUUGCAGUCCAGAUUAAGGGGAUGGGCCUAGAGUUAAAAUCUCAGUUAUGGUUUCAGACACAGGCACAGAAUGACCUGUUUUCUCCAAGAGGCUAAAUCAUGUUUUCAAGAAUCCUCUCUGUAAACCAUAUAAGAUCUGGCAGAAAAAUAACAUCCUAGUCUGUGUUCCUAAAUGUCUCGGGCUAGUGAACUUUUAUUCAGUUCAAGCUUCUGGUAGGCCAAUAGGCCAAACUCUGUUCUAAAGGGACCUGGGGAGAAUUUGGUGAAUAAUUACACAGUACUGCUGUGAGGUAAGAGGAGUGCAGAACCUGUGGGUAUCUAUAACUGAC
rnacentral:lncRNA from 1 species